GACGUAGGGCGCGAGCGUUGUCCGGAUUUAUUGGGCGUAAAGAGCUCGUAGGCGGUGUGUCGCGUCGGCCGUGAAAACCUGCAGCUUAACUGUGGGCUUGCGGUCGAUACGGGCAUCACUGGAGUUCGGCAGGGGAGACUGGAAUUCCUGGUGUAGCGGUGAAAUGCGCAGAUAUCAGGAGGAACACCGGUGGCGAAGGCGGGGUCUCUGGGCCGAUACUGACGCUGAGGAGCGAAAGCGUGGGGAGCGAACAGG
rnacentral:rRNA from 1 species